UCUACGGGAGGCAGCAGUGAGGAAUAUUGGUCAAUGGGCUUACGCCUGAACCAGCCAAGUCGCGUGAGGGAAGACUGCCCUAUGGGUUGUAAACCUCUUUUGUCAGGGAGCAACGCCGGCUACGUGUAGCCGGACUGAGAGUACCUGAAGAAAAAGCAUCGGCUAACUCCGUGCCAGCAGCCGCGGUAAUACGGAGGAUGCGAGCGUUAUCCGGAUUUCUUGGGUUUAAAGGGUGCGUAGGCGGAAUGCCAAGUCAGCGGUAAAAUCGCGGGGCUCAACCUCGCUCCGCCGUUGAAACUGGCGGUCUGGAGUGGGCGAGAAGUAUGCGGAAUGCGUGGUGUAGCGGUGAAAUGCAUAGAUAUCACGCAGAACUCCGAGUGCGAAGGCAGCAUACCGGCGCCCAACUGACGCUGAAGCACGAAAGCGUGGGUAUCGAACAGGAUUAGAUACCCGUGUAGUC
rnacentral:rRNA from 1 species